GAUGAACGCUGGCGGCGUGCCUAAUACAUGCAAGUCGAGCGAACAGAUGAGGAGCUUGCUCCUCUGACGUUAGCGGCGGACGGGUGAGUAACACGUGGAUAACCUACCUAUAAGACUGGGAUAACUUCGGGAAACCGGAGCUAAUACCGGAUAAUAUAUUGAACCGCAUGGUUCAAUAGUGAAAGACGGUGUUGCUGUCACUUAUAGAUGGAUCCGCGCCGCAUUAGCUAGUUGGUAAGGUAACGGCUUACCAAGGCAACGAUGCGUAGCCGACCUGAGAGGGUGAUCGGCCACCCUGGAACUGAGACACGGUCCAGACUCCUACGGGAGGCAGCAGUAGGGAAUCUUCCGCAAUGGGCGAAAGCCUGACGGAGCAACGCCGAGUGAGUGAUGAAGGUCUUCGGAUCGUAAAGCUCUGUUAUUAGGGAAGAACAAAUGUGUAAGUAACUAUGCACGUCUUGACGGUACCUAAUCAGAAAGCCACGGCUAACUACGUG
rnacentral:rRNA from 1 species